rnacentral:rRNA from 1 species
GACGAACGCUGGCGGCGUGCUUAACACAUGCAAGUCGAACGGAAAGGCCCUGCUCUUGUGGGGUGCUCGUUUGGCGAACGGGUGAGUAACACGCGAGUAACCUGCCCCUGACUUUGGGAUAACUUCAGGAAACUGGGGCUAAUAUCGGAUAGGAGCUCUUGCUGCACGGUGGGGGAUGGUAAGUUUCGGCGGUUGUGGAUGGAAUAGCGGCUUAUCAGCUUGUUGGGGGGGUAGUGGCGUACGAAGGUUAUGACGGGUAGCCGACCUGGGAGGUUGACCGGCCACAUUGCGACUACGAGACGGACCAGACGCCUACGUGAGGCAGCAGUCGGGAAUAUUACGCAGUGGCCGGAAGCCUGUUGCGGCAGUGCCGCGAGCGGGAUAACGGGCUUCGGGUUGUAAACAGCUUUCGCCUGUGACGAAGCCUGAGUGACGGUAAUUGGUAAGAAAGCACCGGCUAACUACGUG